rnacentral:rRNA from 1 species
UUACCGAGUUUACAACUCCCAAACCCAAUGUGAACGUUACCAAACUGUUGCCUCGGCGGGAUCUCUGCCCCGGGUGCGUCGCAGCCCCGGACCAAGGCGCCCGCCGGAGGACCAACCAAAACUCUUUUUGUAUACCCCCUCGCGGGUUUUUUAUAAUCUGAGCCUUCUCGGCGCCUCUCGUAGGCGUUUCGAAAAUGAAUCAAAACUUUCAACAACGGAUCUCUUGGUUCUGGCAUCGAUGAAGAACGCAGCGAAAUGCGAUAAGUAAUGUGAAUUGCAGAAUUCAGUGAAUCAUCGAAUCUUUGAACGCACAUUGCGCCCGCCAGUAUUCUGGCGGGCAUGCCUGUCCGAGCGUCAUUUCAACCCUCGAACCCCUCCGGGGGGUCGGCGUUGGGGAUCGGCCCUCCCUUAGCGGGUGGCCGUCUCCGAAAUACAGUGGCGGUCUCGCCGCAGCCUCUCCUGCGCAGUAGUUUGCACACUCGCAUCGGGAGCGCGGCGCGUCCACAGCCGUUAAACACCCAACUUCUGAAAUGUUGACCUC